AAUCAACGCUGGCGGCGUGCCUCAGACAUGCAAGUCGAACGAUUAAAGCUCUCUUCGGAGAGUGUAUAGAGUGGCGCACGGGUGAGUAACACGUAAGUAAUCUACCUUUGAGUGGGGAAUAACAGUCGGAAACGACUGCUAAUACCGCAUAAUGCAGCGGCAUCGCAAGAUGACAGUUGUUAAAGGAGCAAUCCGCUUAAAGAGGAGCUUGCGGCAGAUUAGCUAGUUGGUAAGGUAAUGGCUUACCAAGGCUACGAUCUGUAUCCGGUCUAAGAGGACGGUCGGACACACUGACACUGAAUAACGGGUCAGACUCCUACGGGAGGCAGCAGUCGGGAAUUUU
rnacentral:rRNA from 1 species